CGAUGGUAAAGGGAUUUUAAAAAGAGACAAGUUGCUCCCAAAAAUUAUCAAAAUCAUCAACCUUUCAUUAUCAGUCAGUCAGUCAUUAACUCAGCAGGUAAAAAAAAGAAAAAACAGCUAACAACAGUGGUUAAAAGCAUCUGAGCCAAUACAAAGUACUCAGACUUGUUGUUUAGGUGUUUUGUCCUCCAAUAAAAACUACAGU